UGGGGAAUAUUGGACAAUGGGCGCAAGCCUGAUCCAGCAAUGCCGCGUGAGUGAUGAAGGCCUUAGGGUUGUAAAGCUCUUUCGCCCGCGACGAUGAUGACGGUAGCGGGAGAAGAAGCCCCGGCUAACUCCGUGCCAGCAGCCGCGGUAAUACGGAGGGGGCUAGCGUUGUUCGGAAUUACUGGGCGUAAAGGGCGCGCAGGCGGCUGCUCAAGUCAGGCGUGAAAGGCCUGGGCUCAACCCGGGAAUUGCGCUUGAGACUGGGCUGGCUUGAGUGCGGGAGAGGAUGGUGGAAUUCCCAGUGUAGAGGUGAAAUUCGUAGAUAUUGGGAAGAACACCGGUGGCGAAGGCGGCCAUCUGGACCGCAACUGACGCGGAGGCGCGAAAGCGUGGGGAGCAAACAGG
rnacentral:rRNA from 1 species